rnacentral:lncRNA from 1 species
AGAUGGGAUUUCACUGUGUUAGCCAGGAUGGUCUUGAUCUCCUGACCUCGUGAUCUGCCUGCCUUGGCCUCCCAAAGUGCUGAGAUUACAGAGGUGGUUACAGAAGAGGGCUACUUUCUUUGAAGUUUUCUGUGCAAUCCAAUGGCUAAUGACUGAUCAACCAUCACAUUAUCAUUUCAACAAACUCUGUAAUAACAGGAAUAAGUGAAUACUACUGUUAUCUCUGUCUUACAGGUUGAUUUUUGAGUAGUGAACCAGCUUUGCAUUCCUGGGGAUGGAAGAAGAUACUUAGAAAAAUCAGGGAAGAGUGAAGAAGAUACUUCGAAAAAUCAGGGAAGAUUUUCAUCAUAAGGUCCAAGCAAAGGCAUGAGUAUAAGAUAUUCCUGAGUCUGAGUCUACUGACAAAUAUACCACAU